rnacentral:rRNA from 1 species
AACGAACGCUGGCGGCAGGCCUAACACAUGCAAGUCGAGCGAAGCCUUCGGGCUUAGCGGCGGACGGGAGAGUAACGCGUGGGAACGUGCCCUUUGGUACGGAAUAGCCCCGGGAAACUGGGAGUAAUACCGUAUGUGGUCGAGAGACGAAAGAUUUAUCGCCAAAGGAUCGGCCCGCGUUGGAUUAGGUAGUUGGUGGGGUAAUGGCCUACCAAGCCGACGAUCCCUAGCUGGUUUGAGAUGAUGAUCAGCCACACUGGGCCUGAGACACGGCCCAGACUCCUACGGGAGGUAGCAGUGGGGAAUCUUAGGCAAUUGUGGAAACCCUGAGCUAGCCAUGCAGCGUGAUCGAUGAAGGCCUUAGGGUUGUAAAGAUCUUUCAGUGGGGAAGAUAAUGACUGCACCCGCAGAAGAAACCCCGGCUAACUCCGUGCCAGCCGCCGCGGUAACAC